UACGUAGGGCGCAAGCGUUAUCCGGAAUUAUUGGGCGUAAAGAGCUCGUAGGCGGUUUGUCGCGUCUGCCGUGAAAGUCCGGGGACUCAACGUCCGGAUACUGGCGGUGGGUACGGGCAGGACUAGAGUGAUGUAGGGGAGACUGGAAGUUCCUGGUGUAGCGGUGAAAUGCGCAGGAUAAUCAGGAGGAACACCGAUGGCGAAGGCAGGUCUCUGGGCAAUUGAACUGACGCUGGAGGAGCGAAAGCAUGGGGAGCGAACAGGA
rnacentral:rRNA from 1 species